AUGCCGGGACACAGUAGAACUGCUGCUAAUACCCGAUAUGCGCAUGCGUAAAAGCUUCGGCGCCAAGAGAUGAGCUUGCGUCUGAUUAGCUAGUUGGUAAGGUAAAAGCUUACCAAGGCGAUGAUCAGUAGCUGGUCUGAGAGGACGACCAGCCACAUAGGGACUGAGACACGGCCCAGACUUCUACGGGAGGCAGCAGUAGGGAAUUUUCCGCAAUGAGCGNAAGCUUGACGGAGCAAUACAGCGUGGAGGAUGACGGCCCAUGGGUUGUANNCUCCUUUUCUUUGAGAAGAAGUCU
rnacentral:rRNA from 1 species